UCAGAGGUUGUGGAAGAGGAGGAGCACGGUUAGCUGAGGUGUCCUUGUUGUAUGGGGAAUGUGUCACCACCAGAAGUCCUCUUAAUGUCUGGAGUCUGGCAACCCGAGGCCUGGAAGCCUCCUUGUGGAAACGGCUGUGAGAAAGGCCUGGCUCCUUCGAUCAGCAAUGGCGACUGGGAACCACAGCCCAUGACAGCUGCAGGAAGAGAGCCCUCCAGAGAAGAAAAAACGGCCACGCUUGUACUUGUCAGCCUGCAGGUGCCCAAAGACCUCUGUUAAAAAGAAAUAAGGACUCAGAAGACGUAGCUGGCCUGGUGUGUGGAGGAGGAGGCCUGUGGGUCACCUUAACAAAGGGUGGAAAUUCCAGGGAAGUGGCAAGACUAAGAGAGGCCUGUGUGAAGGGGAAGUUGGUGCAGACCCAUCUCAGGUGCGCGGCUGAAGGGAAAGCUUGUGUCCCCUCAGCUGGGGAGGGACAGAGAAGACUCCUCAGGCAGUGGUGAAGGCCGGCCUGGAGCUUUUCGCUGUUGUUGUUUUCCUUAUAGAGACCCUAGCAGCGAACACAGUUGCCUUCGCCCCGGGCAGAUUUGCAGGGGAAGCACACAAUUGAAACCCUCUGGGCAGGAAUGAAGAUGCCUAAAGAUAGACACUCCCUCCGUUGGCUGUCAGACUAUUGAGAUUAUGGUCCCCAAGUCCCCAGGAGUCUCACAGUGAGAGAAGGAAAAGGCUGGAUCCUGGUGGCAGCUGAUGAAGAACUUGUCUCUCUCUCUAGGUUUCCAGAAGAUGACCCCCCCCUGGGUUUAUAACAGCUUAAGUAUUUCCCAUCAGGCCCAAUCAGGAGCAAGCAUACAUCCUGAUGUACCUCCAGACUACAUCCAAUCAGGGGUGAGCUGUAGUUUGAUUCUAUCCUGCCUGUCAGUUCCCGUAGCUGCUUAGGAAAUAACACUCCGAGGCUUAAUAUCAAUUACAAUUGUUUGACCCAUGGCCCAGAUAUAUUACUGGCUAGCUCUCUCUCUCUCAUAAUUUAACCUAUUUCUAUUAAUCAAUGCAUUACCUCGAGGCUGUGGCUUACCGGUAAUGCUCCUGUAUAUUACUCCUUCGGUGGCUACAUGGCAUCUCCCUGACUCUGUCUUCCUUUUCUCUGCAUCUUUGUUUGGAUUUCCUGCCUAUAUUUUGUCUGGCCAUUGGCCGAAACAGCUUUAUUUGUCAACCAAUAAAAGCAACGCAUAUUCACAGCACACAGAAGGACAUCCCAUAUCAGUAAGUGUACAUCCUGACACUCACCCGGCCUGUGACCCUCCUGUCCACGUGUGACCAAGCACACUUGGUGCAGAAGAGUCAGACAAACUUGUUGAGGAGAAUGAAAAACACGUGGCUUGUUAUCUCCCAUGAACAAUGGCCUCCAGCAUUUCAGGAGCUGUCUGUCCUUGAGCAAGGGGCUUGCAGAUCAGAGACACUUUUGUUUCAUGGAUCCCUAAGGCAUAGUAAUUAAAACUUAAAAUGUUACUUUGUCUCUCAUACUAAUAAGCAGGCGAGGCGAAAGCCAUAGGACAGUUACACAGAGCAAUAUUCCCUUACUCUCACAAGCUUUGUAACAUUAGGAGCAACUCUGCAAGGAGCCUUCUAAUCUACAGAACCAUUCAGAAAGAGAAAAGGUUCGUGGAGCUAGAGAGAUGGCCUGUAGUUCGGAACACUGCGCUCUUCAGAGGACUGGGGCUCAGUUCCCGUUGCCCACAUGGCAGGUAGCAUCAUCUUGACUCCAGCUCCAGGGCAUCUGCUGACCUCUUCCGGCAUCCUCUCACAUUGCAAACGCAUGGCUCACAUAUGUAUGUGCAGGCAGGCAAACACUCACACACAAAUACAUAAAGGCAUCUCUUUAACGACUGCAUCUAGGGCCUGAGGAGAUGGCUCAGUGGUUAAGAGCACUUGACUGCUCUUCCAGAGGAUCCAGGUUCAAUUCCAGCACCCACAUGGGAGGCGUACAACUGUCUGUAACUCCAGUUCCAGGGAAUCCGAUGCCCUCAUCUGGUCUCUGUGGGCACUGCACACAUGUAGUGCCCAGAUAUACAUGCAGGCGAGCACUUAUACACAUAAAAUAAAUUUGAAAGAUUCAAGUUAAAAAUAUAUCUAAACUAAACACUAUAGACUUCCUUUCUGUGUCAUUAUCUCCUAAUCAACACAGUGAAUAUUCCCAGCCUUCAUAUUUUAUGUGGCAGAAACCCUUUACAGAUUUGAAGUGCCCAGGGCGCGUGGACAGGCUAUAUGUGCAAAUGUUAUAUGCUUUAUACAAGUGAACGGGAUAGCUUUGGAUUUUGUCUGUAGGUAGCUAGUAUCCUGGAGGCUGUCCCCUGUAGAUACAGAGGGUGAAUAUAAACAUGUCAUUUUAGAUGUCAUGUCUCUCAUCCCUAAACCCUCAACUGCGUUUCACUGAGGACCAGGCAGGGUGUCUCAUAGCGCCCCCCCCCAAGACCUCUGAGCUGCCUGACCUGGUGGGUCUCUUAGUUCUCUCCAACUCUGGGUCUCUGUAUCUCUUCCGUGGCCUUCUUCAGUGUCCCUGUGGGGCGGCUUCCUCCAGCCCCGUGUCUCUCCAUAGUCUCUGGUCUCAGCCUCUCCCAGCAGGAGGCCAGAAACUACCCAUAGAAGUAUCAGCAUCCUGGGUCCCUUGAAGACAAUAGUGGGGUCCUCUGUGUCUUCCGUUUCUAAUCGGGCACCUAAGGGAAAACAAGCCAUUGCCUGUGGGGUCCUCUGUGUCUUCCUCUUCUAACCAGGCACCUAGUGGAAAACAAGCCAUUGCCCUGGAACUUCACCCCAUGCUGUGACUGGCUCCCCACAGAGCUCUCCAAGUGGGGCCCUCCCUGAGCCUUGAAUUUACUCUUCCCUAGUGAUGCUCCUUCUGCCUCUGCCUUCCCGCCUCCCUCUUCUGCAAGCUUUGACUUGGUUCUCAGAGUUCACCUGGACUUGACGCUUAGACUCAUCUCACCCACUGGAUCUCUACCUGAUUGUGGGGUGGCCUCUGAACUGCCCUUUCUCCUGAGCCUUCUGGGGGAAACCCUCAAUGUCCAGAAACCACGACACACACGCUAGGUUUCAGGAUAGUCACUCUCUGCCUUGGCCUGUUUUCCUUUAUCAGCUGUGUGUUUUACUGACACCCAUGCAUGGCCGGGAGAAGGCAGAGUUGGGGGUGAAAGCCACACAGCACUGCUGACUGCCUCUCACGGCUCACCCCACUGUCCUCUCGCUGUGUCCCGCUGUUAAGUCAUCUCCACCUACUCUGUAUCUGUAUGUACAGCACACUGGAAGCCAAGAAGCAAAUCGGGAUCGAUUGGAUUAGCCCUUGAACGUGUCAGUCCCCAUCACUGUGUCAUGUCACGGGGUCACCCCAGGGGCUGUUAUGCUGGCCAAGCUGAGGGCAGCUCUCAGCCACUGCCAGAUGCCAGUAUAGUCUGUAAGCCCAUGAGGAUGCUUUCGCAGGCUAGACACACCCUACUGUUAGUACUCAUGCAUCUGU